UACUGUUUUGAUUAAUUAUACUCAGAAACUGGAAAAGAAAGAACAUAAUUGGCAGACUAAAAUAUGAAAUUUAUUCAAAUCCCUUAUAACAAAACAUGGCUUAAUAUACCAGUAAUACGUUUCAUUUUAUUUGUUUUCUUACAAAUAUGCAAAGAGGUAAUCACCAAUAAGUGGUAGUAUUUAAACACUUGGAAAAAAUAUUAAGCAAUACUCUUGUUGUAGCUAAUUGUGCAUAUGCAUCUUAUCUGAAGUUGGCAGCAAGUGAAAUUAAAUGGUUUUCCAAAUGACUGCAUUGCCAAUCCACCUUCUUUCAGCUAAUUGACUGAUUUUGGUCAUUGCUGCCUCCCAAGGGGGUCACUUGCACUGACGUGGAGUAUUGACAAUCCCGUAUGGCACUAAAGCUUGCUACAACCAUCGGUUGGUGCAACCCCACAGGGGGCCUUUUAGAAAGCACUGAAUAGGGAUCCUUUCCUGUUGAGAGAGAUGUGGAAUGGGAUACAGGCACGGCAUUGCAGAGAGGAAUGCUGUUGGACCCCACUCAAACAGCCUCAUAACAAGUCUGGGCCUUGGUUUAUUCAUCUGGAAAACAGGAGAUCGCCUUGAAAGUCUUCUCGCAAUCUGUGGCUCUCUGAGUCCACGUGAGCUCUGCCGGCGUAAUAGAAUCAGCACACUGUUAACCACAGAAAUGGAGGAAGGAGCCCUGAACACCCCAAUUCUGGUUAAAACAGGAGGCAAGAGCAAUCACAACCAGUGUCUAGUAACAUGUUUACCAUUCUGCAGACACAAAUCCAAAGUUCAAGCGACACAAGCAUAACAGCAGGGUCGGAAUCCAAAACUUCGCAUACACCAAAAGGCUACAGUCAUCUGUGACUGGUGUUGGUUCCAGAAUUGAGCCUUGAUUGUUUUUCAAAUGUUGGAAAAUGUCUGUGCAGCAUCUUGUGGUUGAAAUGCCUGCUCACCUGCUUUCUGAGGUCUGUCAGGUUGACAAGCUCAGGAGGGAGUCUCCGCCACUUUUUGAGCCCCAGAUCUCUGAGAAUCUGUAACAGUCCCAGGUGCAGUCAGUUGUCCAUGCAACGUGCAUAUGCACCUCACAUAUGCAAACAAUUAAGAAGGCUUCCUGGGUCUCAGGCGCCAGGGGAAACCUGCUUGUCCGGCCAACCCCUCACUCUCCUUCCUGUUUCUGACCUGCGUCAUAACACCACUCGUCGUCUCAACCCUAGUUGGCACCCACGCCAGUCAAGCCACUCGACUUGAAAGUAAACUCCUCAUCUCCAGUUGUAGGUCCUUCUGGCUGUGCUGUGUGGGAUGCCACCUCAGCAUGGCCUGAUGAGUGGUGCUAGAUCUGCGCCCAGGAUCCAAACUAGUGAAACACUGGACCACUGAAGUGGAGCGCAUAAACUUAACCACUCAGCAUGGGCCUGGCCCCACCAUUUCUUUUUUCUGAGUUACAGUUGACAAAGUAAUCCUAAAUAUGACAUAUUGUGAUGUGGACUGACCAUGCCGGACUUGCGCACAGCUUGCACCACCUGUACUCACCAGUGUUGCUGUCUCUUUUGAUCCUGCAAGAUGUAUUACAUUUGGCAGAAGCCAUGGAAGAAAAAGUGUAUCAGGGAAGUGAGAACUGUUGUCAUCAACUAGCCUUCACAGUUGAUGUUUCUUCAAGAUUCAGCUGACCUUCGCUACCUUUUCAAGAGCAACUCACUUCUGUAAAAUUGUACACACAGUGCGAUGAAACUUUUGUUAAAAAAAUACAGCAUAGAUAGCUACAGAAAAAAAUGGUUGUUUUAGAGUGGUGGGAUUAUGGGUGAUUUCCACUUUUCUACAGUCGGUACGUAUUUUUUUUAAUAAGAUAGCCAACAAGUGUUAUUUUUUUUAAAAAAAGAAAGAAAAUAACCUACUCUUACGAAUAUGAGGAAGCUUGUUCUUUUGUGCUUUCGUUUUCAUCGCGGGGGAGGUGGAGGAGCGGAAUUUAUUUGUUUGGGGAUUGUUUUGAGAAUUUCUCUUUUGGAUUUUAUCUCCACAUUCUCUGAAAGACUCGAUGUGAAUUUACUACUCAAACUGCUUUGCUGUUUUAUUCUUAGACCAUCCUGCUCUCUACUUGGCUGGAAAUCAAAGGCCCAUCCAGAUAAGAAUCUCCGCAAUGUGCAUUUUCAGAGCAAGUCAGAAGCUGCUUUGUUUUAACACUCAAAGAAAGCUUUUGUAUUUUCGAUUUCGAGUGCUCUGCAGUAAAAUCAACAGUCUAUAUAGAUUAUACAAAAGGGUCAUAUGUUGGUUUGAGCCAGUUUCUGGGGGAAAAAAAUCACCAUUGAGGAACAGCAAGUGUUUAAACAAUGAACUGACAGCUGCCGGUCCAUUAGAUCCUCCAUGGGUGCAAUUCCUGCUCUUUGCAAUUUCACUGUGGUCUGUAGAUACCACCCUUCGUGGCUGAGCUGGUGGUGAUGGGCUGUGUUCCAAUAGCACCUGCACUUAGCGGAGGGAUGUCUUUCAUCAGAGGCCUCUCGCAUAAAGUCCAUCAUAAGAAAGAGAAACCGUGCCAGCUCCGAAAGGGAGAAGAAGAAAAUAUACAGCUAUUUCAAAGUCCGUAUUGGCCAUUUAAGUACUUGUAGAGUUAGAACUAAAAACUUGAAGCUCUUGAUUUACACUAUAUUCUCUUGGCCAUUCUAAGGAGUAUCAGGAUUCAUCUUUAGCUGAAGUUUAAUCCAAAUAGUCAAACCUCAGAGUUUGCUAAAUUAAGUGCUUUUUUUUUUUUUUUUGAGGAAGAUUAGCCCUGAGCUAACAUCUGCUGCCAAUCCUCCUCUUUUUGCUGAGGAAGCCUGGCCCUGAGCUAACAUCCGUGCCCAUCUGCCUCUACUUUCUGUGUGGGACGCCUGCCACAGCAUGGCAUGCCAAGCAGUGCCAUGUCUGCACCCGGGAUCUGAACCCACGAAUCCCAGGCCACCGAAGUGGAACAUGCGAACGUAACUGCUGCGCCACUAGGUUGGCACCAUUAAGUGCUAAUUUAAUGAUGACGUCUGCCUUUAAAAAUAUCUUUCUGGUGAUAGGCUUAAAGAAGAGACAUGAAAGAAUAUUUUCUUUAACUUCUGCUUCAGCAAGCUACAAUCCUCUUAAUUUUCUCUUUACUGGAGUCAGAUGUUCAUAAUUAGCCCUAUUUGAACAGCCCAAGGGUUGGUCCAGGGUUUCACAGGAGAGUAAAAAGUCUUAGGUGAAGACAAGCCUUUGAUUCUCUUUAUCAAGGUCUUUCCUCACCUUUGAUUUGAUUCUCUGCUGAAUCGCUCCUUUCCUUCAGUCCCUUAGAAUGCCUUCCUUUGGGAUCUCUGGUUUAGAUUUUCAGUGGAUGUUUAUACCUGUGUCUGGGCCCACCGCUUGCCCUGACCGCAUCUCAGAUCUGCCACAUCUUGAUUGCUUACCCCAUUACCUUCUUUCCCCUUGGAUCCUUAAUAACGGCACCUCUGCUUUCCUAGACAUAGCUUUCACCUGCAGCUAUCCGUGCCCCAGCUGAACCGAACUAGGUUUUAGCUCCACCAGUUUGAGCCGAGCAGUCACUUC
rnacentral:lncRNA from 1 species